UUAAUUGAAGCCAAAAUUAGAGGCAUAUUAUUGUUAAUAAUAAAAAUGAAAAAAAAAAUUCCAAUUAAA
rnacentral:tRNA from 1 species